AACGAACGCUGGCGGCGCGCCUAACACAUGCAAGUCGAACGAGAAGGCGUAGCAAUACGCUUGUAGAGUGGCGAACGGGUGAGUAAUACGUGGGUGACCUACCCUCGAGUGGGGAAUAACCCGCCGAAAGGCGGGCUAAUGCCGCGUACGCUUCCGUCCUCACGGGGACGGAAGGAAAGCUGUACCGUGGGUACGGCGCUCAAGGAUGGGCUCACGUCCUAUCAGCUUGUUGGUAGGGUAACGGCCACCAAGGCUACGACGGGUAGCUGGUCUGAGAGGACGAUCAGCCACACUGGCACUGCGACACGGGCCAGACUCCUACGGGAGGCAGCAGUGAGGAAUAUUGCGCAAUGGGCGAAAGCCUGACGCAGCGACGCCGCGGU
rnacentral:rRNA from 1 species